AUUGAACGCUGGCGGCAGGCCUAACACAUGCAAGUCGAGCGGAUGAAGGGAGCUUGCUCCUGGAUUCAGCGGCGGACGGGUGAGUAAUGCCUAGGAAUCUGCCUGGUCGUGGGGGAUAACGUCCGGAAACGGGCGCUAAUACCGCAUACGUCCUGAGGGAGAAAGUGGGGGAUCUUCGGACCUCACGCUAUCAGAUGAGCCUAGGUCGGAUUAGCUAGUUGGUGGGGUAAAGGCCUACCAAGGCGACGAUCCGUAACUGGUCUGAGAGGAUGAUCAGUCACACUGGAACUGAGACACGGUCCAGACUCCUACGGGAGGCAGCAGUGGGGAAUAUUGGACAAUGGGCGAAAGCCUGAUCCAGCCAUGCCGCGUGUGUAAAGAAGGUCUUCGGAUUGUAAAGCACUGUAAGUUGGGAGGAAGGGCAGUAAGUUAAUACCUGGCUGUUUUGACGUUACCAACAGAAUAAGCACCGGCUAACUUCGUG
rnacentral:rRNA from 1 species